rnacentral:tRNA from 2 species
UUCUUCCGUAGUAUAGUGGUCAGUAUGCAAGCUUGUCACGCUUGAGACCCGGGUUCAAUUCCCGGCGGGAGA